CCAUGAAGGGGCCAGGCAACCACAAAUUUCAGUGCCAGGACCAUGCACGCUGCAUGGCACCCAUGGCCCCGGGCACCCACAGUUGUGGGGCCAAGCUGGUACUCCCGAGCCCUAAUAUGGAAUCAUUUAGGUUUUAGAUCAGGGGUCUGCAACCUUUAAGACAAAAAGAGCCACUUGGACCCGUUUCCGAAGAAAAAAACAAACUGGGAGCCGCAAAACCGGGAAGGUGAAGUCGGGAUGGUGCGUGCCUAAUGCACGCACCGCCCCCAUGCGACGUCACAGCCAGUACAGCGCCCGCCACAGUGGGGAGUGUCGGGGCGCACAAUGCGCCUCCUCCCCUCACUAGUAUCCGCCCCGGAGCCGCAGCAAAGGUGUAAAAGAGCCACAUGCGGCUCCGGAGCCAUGGGUUGCAGACCCCUGUUUUAGAUGUUGCUUUGCUGUUUUUUAAGAUACGUGUUAUUUAUUGUUUUAAGUUGCUUUGAGUUACUUUGGUAUAAAACCCCCCACAAAACUACAGUAAUAAGUUUAAUCAAUAACAAUAUAAAGGGGUACAGGCUUUACUUCAGUGGCACACCACACAAUUUUCAUCCAAAAUGUCCCAGGGAUCUGCCUGUAGGGUAGGCAUUUUCCCUAAUUGCUUUAUUAUUUGGCACUCCCCAAGCUUUGUUUUUAAAUUCCUUCUCUGUUCUUCUUUCUUCCGGACAGGCUGAGGCAUCUGGUCCAUAUUUCUCCCCAGAGAUCCUGUUGACUUUUGCAGCAAGAUGGAAAGUGAUGCAACUUGGGUGCUGCAGGACAGAGUGAAUGACAAGAGAGAAGAAAUCAAAGCACAACGUCGAAGAAAAAGUGAGGAUUUGCUGAGGGAGACAGAAGCUGAGAGGAAGAACAUAAUCCGGGAGUGGGAAGAGCUGCGAAGGUUUGUCGAAGACCAAGAAAAACUCGUGUUGAGGAGGCUGCAAAAGCUGGACAAUGACAUUGUUAGAAGGAGAGAUGAGAGUGUUUUGGAAGGUUCUGAGCAAGCAACAUUUCACGAAAACAGAGAAAGCAACCAGCACCCACUUGUGAAGGUGGGGAAUCCCUGUCUUAUUUAUCAUCAUUACAUUUGUAUUCUGCCUUUCCUCGAAGUCAAGGUGGCGCACGUGGUUCUCCCCUCAUUUUAGCCUCCCAACAACCCUCUGACGUGGUUUAGGCUGAGAGAUGGCAACUGGCUUUAGGUCACCCAACAAGCUUCAUGGCCAAUUGGGGAUUGAGCCUUUGUCUCCCAGGCACCCUAACCACUAUGCCACACUGUGCCAAGGACAAGUCAAAAGUUUUAAACAGUGCAAUUCUUUAUGUGUCUUCUCAGAUGUAAGCACCAUUGAAUUCAAUGGGGCUUACACCCAAGUAAGUGAGCAUA
rnacentral:lncRNA from 1 species